AGGACUAACGCUGGCGGCGUGCCUAACACAUGCAAGUCGAGCGGGGUAGCAAUACCCAGCGGCAGACGGGUGAGUAACGCGUGGUCAACCUUCCGUUGAAUGGGGGAUAACUAGCCGAAAGGUUAGCUAAUACCGCAUACGAUCUUUUGAAGGCAUCUUUAAAAGAUGAAAGGAGCAAUUCGUUCAACGACGGGACCGCGUCCCAUUAGCUAGAUGGUGGGGUAAUGGCCUACCAUGGCAACGAUGGGUAGCUGGUUUGAGAGAGCGACCAGCCACACUGGGACUGAGAAACGGCCCAGACUCCUACGGGAGGCAGUAGUGAGGAAUUUUCCGCAAUGGGCGAAAGCCUGACGGAGCGACGCCGCGUGUGGGAAGAAGGCCUUCGGGUCGUAAACCACUGUCGAAGGGGACGAUAAUGACGGUACCUUGGAGGAGCCCGGCUAACUACGCGCCAGCAGCCGC
rnacentral:rRNA from 1 species